CGGGACGGGUGAGUAAUGUCUGGGAAACUGCCUGAUGGAGGGGGAUAACUACUGGAAACGGUAGCUAAUACCGCAUAACGUCGCAAGACCAAAGAGGGGGACCUUCGGGCCUCUUGCCAUCGGAUGUGCCCAGAUGGGAUUAGCUAGUAGGUGGGGUAACGGCUCACCUAGGCGACAUCCCUAGCUGGUCUGAGAGGAUGACCAGCCACACUGGAACUGAGACACGGUCCAG
rnacentral:rRNA from 1 species